rnacentral:rRNA from 1 species
GAUGAACGCUGGCGGCGUGCCUAACACAUGCAAGUCGAACGAAGCGCUUUUGCUCGAUUCUUCGGAUGAUGGUGAGAGUGACUGAGUGGCGGACGGGUGAGUAACGCGUGGGUAACCUGCCUCAUACAGGGGGAUAACAGUUAGAAAUGACUGCUAAUACCGCAUAAGACCACAGUACCGCAUGGUACAGGGGUAAAAACUCCGGUGGUAUGAGAUGGACCCGCGUCUGAUUAGC